GUGGUAGCUCAGUCGGGUAAGCGCCCGCUUCUCACGCCAGAGAUGCGGGUUUGAAUCCCGGCGCAGACA
rnacentral:tRNA from 1 species